rnacentral:lncRNA from 1 species
UUACCAGCCCGAAACAGGCCGCGGACCACGUCCUGCUUAGCAGCGUCGCCGACCCUUUUAACUUUAACAAGUGUGUCCAACACCUGGCCCGCAAUAAAACACCGGGACCCGAUGGGAUACCUAACGAGCUACUGAGAGCAUUGCCCACUGCCUUACAGUCCACCAUCCACGACCUCCUGAAAGUCAUGUGGGCCCAGGCCCGCACGCCAAAGCAAUGGACUGAAUCCGUUACGGUCCUUUUACCAAAAGCAGGAGAUGCGCUCCUCCUGAACAACAAGCGACCCAUUGCCCUCGCCAACACUCUUUAUAAGUUAUGGACUAGCCUCGUCACAGUGUCCAUCGGGGACGUCGCUCCCGAACUCGCGUUGUUUAGCGAGGCGCAAGAAGGGUUCCUCCGGUACAGAAACACGGAACGGCAAAUCCAAAACCUGCUCCACGUCAUUGAGGAUGCUGGGCUCACACGCAAAGAUCUCUACCUGUUAUACGUCGACUUCUCCUCGGCAUUCAACACCAUCAACCACGACCUGCUGCUACAGAUCAUGUACGACCUAGGGCUACCCGAGGACCUCAUCUAUGUCGUACGGGAUCUGUACAGCCAAGCGCGGACCACUAUACGGACAGAACACGGCCUCACAGCNNNNNNNNNNNNNNNNNNNNNNNNNNNNNNNNNNNNNNNNNNNNNNNNNNCCGCCACAAGCGUACUGCAACGUUUCUGUCGCCGGUGGAAACUUCGACCAUAAUCCCGUUCACGCCCGCCUGGCCGCCGACGCCAUCCGCCUGUGGGACGCCAAGAAACCGGCAGUCCCAAACAACCCAGACGGAGACGGGGCCCGGACUAAAUGGAAAAACGUGAUACUGCCGGUUCCGAAUUCCACUAUCCGCGCAGCGCAAUCGAAGAUGGAUGCCUCGCUCACGUCGGACAUCCUCAGCCUCCAGGAAUACCUCCGCCCCGCCGUCCAGGAGAUUGACGAAACACAUCGAGGACCCCACGGAUAUGACAGCCACCCGCUUGAUGACACUACUUCGCGGCCACGACAGCAUCACGGCGGUCAAUGUGGAGAUUGCGGCAGCAAUGCUCCAAACAACCCUCGACAAGGGACUAGACAUCCUACUAGACCUGUGCCCUCAGAAACCGCCAUGUACGGGCAAAAUACACACCAAACGAACAGUCAGCAGAAGACUAAAAAAGUUACACAGAGAACACACCCGGCUCAAGCAUGACUAUGAAAUGGAACUACGGAUGCAGGCCGCCCCCGGAUGCCAACAGCCAGUUUGCGCGGACAGCUCAACAAGCCCUAACGGGCUGGCAUCGAAUGGCAACCACGCACCUCCUGAAGGUGCCGGGGGCUUGCUGGAGCAACUACGGGACACGAUUCGACGGGUCGGUAGCCAAAUACGGCAGGCGCUAACAACAGAACGCCGGAAAAGCAUAACCGCAGCGCGCCGCCGAACCCAGCAUCUGAUCGCCACACGCCCUCGACGGGCUCACCAAGGCAUCUUUAGCAAGGAUGAACUCGAACGCGGCCUGCCUGCGGUGAAACACCCGGUCUCCGGUAAAAUAUGCACGGAACCCGAAUCCAUCCUUGAAGCAGUCCACCAGUACUUCCAGACGCAGGCCGCCCCCAUUGGCCCCCCGAAGACCGGACGGUACCGACCCGAGGAAACCCCUCGAGCGUACCCAUUUCUGCAGAGUGCCGCCCCAGACACGUUCUCCCUUACCAGCCCGAAACAGGCCGCGGACCACGUCCUGCUUAGCAGCGUCGCCGACCCUUUUAACUUUAACAAGUGUGUCCAACACCUGGCCCGCAAUAAAACACCGGGACCCGAUGGGAUACCUAACGAGCUACUGAGAGCAUUGCCCACUGCCUUACAGUCCACCAUCCACGACCUCCUGAAAGUCAUGUGGGCCCAGGCCCGCACGCCAAAGCAAUGGACUGAAUCCGUUACGGUCCUUUUACCAAAAGCAGGAGAUGCGCUCCUCCUGAACAACAAGCGACCCAUUGCCCUCGCCAACACUCUUUAUAAGUUAUGGACUAGCCUCGUCACAGUGUCCAUCGGGGA